rnacentral:misc_RNA from 1 species
GUCAUCAUCAGACUCUUUCUUUCUAUACAUGUAAACCUGGAACCUCAUCUUCUUUAAAUUCAAUCUCAUUCUUUUGCAAUAUACCAUGGCAAAGCGCCCUAUGAGGUUCAACAACACGCGUGCUGCUUUCGACGAGGCCGCUCAGAUGAGGCUUUGUGAGAGCAGCGGCAGCGAGCACUACUCGCCUGACAAUUCUGCUGACCUUUCUGAGCUUGUAAAUUCUUUUAUCGAAAGGGACUACCGAAUUCAAGGAGACAAUGCAAAAGAUCAUGAUCUGGAAUAUGAUUCCAAACUCGAACAAUUGGAGAGUUUCUGCUCUGAUUCUGAGGACAAGAAUAUCUUGGAGAAUUUGCUUAAUGACAAUGAUGACGACGAUGCCAAAAGAAAGAUUCGCGCCGAGACACAACUUGCAUGUGGGAUUGUAGGGGAAAGGUCUUCGCAUGGCUUCAAGCGCAGAUUGAUGUCUCGUUUACGAGAACAAGGCUUUGAUGCUGGUCUUUGCAAAUCCCGGUGGGAGAAAUUUGGAAGGCACCCACCUGGAGAAUACGAGUAUGUAGAUGUGAAUAUUGAUGGGAAUCGCUUCGUUGUUGAAGUGUUUCUAGCGGGAGAAUUCGAAAUUGCUCGUCCCACCACCGGUUACGCCGCACUCCUUGAUGCUUUUCCACUAGUAUUCAUUGGCAAGCCUGAGGAGCUCAAGCAGGUUGUGAGAUUAAUGUGCAGUGCAAUAAGACGGUCGAUGAAAGAGAUGGACUUGCAUGUCCCACCAUGGAGGAGAAAUGGGUACAUACAGGCCAAAUGGUUUGGUCCCUAUAAGCGGACAAUCAAUGAAAUUCCGGUUUCAAAGAGACUGGAACCCAGCGACUCUUUUGCUGCAAAACGGUCAGUUGGGUUUGAGGCUUACCCAGUUAAGGCUUACCAUUGCAGUGAUGAUUUUGCUAGAGAUAAGAUGGGCUUCAAAGUUGGCUAUUUGACUGCUGCAUUCAAUGGCAGUGGUUGAUGCCAUAGUCUCAUUGCAGGCCAAAUUUUGGCUGCUGCAGCUGAACUUGUGUAUAGGAAAAAUUAGUGUCAUACAUUGUUUUAAUAGGUAAUUUUCAGAUGGUUAUUUAUUAGAUUUUAUUUUAUUCCCCAUUUUAAGUGAGUAGCGCUGGGAGUUUGAAAGUAAUUGGAUUGUAAUUAUGCUUUUGCCCGGAAGAGCUAUCAUAUAAUCUGGCUAUUGAAUCCGAUGAUACCAGCAGUUAGCAGAUGUGUUGAGAGGAAUGAACAGGUGAGGUGAAUGUCAAUUCCUAUUCAAUAAGGAGAAAAUCAUCAGUAAGUGAAUUAUGUAAAAAAUGUAAACCUUAAUUCAUCUGUUCCCAAAGAUUUGAUUUGUCAAUGGCCUUUGGGCCCAACAUAAAUCAGUUUAUCUUCUGCAAUUUCAAUUACAAUGAGUCAAUAACAUUUUGAAUGUUUU